GAGCCAUUUGCCACAGGACAUCCAC
rnacentral:misc_RNA from 1 species